UAAAGUGUUAAAUUGAUUAAGAUUGAUCCUGUCUUUUAAAGUUUUGAUUGAUUAGUUAUUUGGUAAUAUUAGAUAUAAAUUUUCGUGUGUUUAUUUAAUUUAUCUAAAAGGUAAAUUUUGUGUGUAUAUUUGUAGUUUUUAAUUUUGAAUAUUGUGGAAACAUAGAUUCAGUUAAUUGAUUUAGAAUUGUUUAAGGUUGUGCCAGCAUACGCGGUUAUACAUCCAAUUCACAUUAAUCUUUUUGGGUUUUAUUUAUUAUAUUUAUUGGGGUUUAUUUUGAUUUUAUAAGGUGAAAUUUUUAAUUUUAAAUACAUUCCCUGGGUUUAAGAUAAUAGGAAAUUUAGAAUUUAAACUAGGAUUAGAUACCCUAUUAUUCUAAAUGUAAAG
rnacentral:rRNA from 1 species